rnacentral:rRNA from 1 species
UGACCUCGGAUCAGGUAGGGAUACCCGCUGAACUUAAGCAUAUCAAUAAGCGGAGGAAAAGAAACCAACAGGGAUUGCCCUAGUAACGGCGAGUGAAGCGGCAACAGCUCAAAUUUGAAAGCUGGCCUUCGGGUCCGCAUUGUAAUUUGUAGAGGAUGCUUUGGGGCAGCCGCCUGUCUAAGUUCCUUGGAACAGGACGUCAUAGAGGGUGAGAAUCCCGUAUGUGACAGGACAUGGCACCCUAUGUAAAGCUCCUUCGACGAGUCGAGUUGUUUGGGAAUGCAGCUCUAAAUGGGAGGUAAAUUUCUUCUAAAGCUAAAUACCGGCGAGAGACCGAUAGCGCACAAGUAGAGUGAUCGAAAGAUGAAAAGCACUUUGGAAAGAGAGUUAAAAAGCACGUGAAAUUGUUGAAAGGGAAGCGCUUGCAAUCAGACUUGUUUUGACUGUUCGGCCGGUCUUCUGACCGGUUUAUUCAGUCUGGACAGGCCAGCAUCAGUUUUGGCGGCCGGAUAAAGGCCCAGGGAAUGUGGCUCUCGCUUCGGCGGGAGUGUUAUAGCCCUGGGUGUAAUACGGCCAGCCGGGACUGAGGUCCGCGCUUCGGCUAGGAUGCUGGCGUAAUGGUUGUAAGCGA